rnacentral:rRNA from 1 species
AAUGAACGCUGGCGGCAGGCCUAACACAUGCAAGUCGAACGAGUGGCGGACGGGUGAGUAACGUCUGGGAAACUGCCUGAUGGAGGGGGAUAACUACUGGAAACGGUCGCUAAUACCGCAUACCAUCGGAUGUGCCCAGAUGGGAUUAGCUAGUAGGUGGGGUAAAGGCUCACCUAGGCGACGAUCCCUAGCUGGUCUGAGAGGAUGACAAGCCAGACGGUAACUGAGACACGGUCCAGACUCCUACGGGAGGCAGCAGUGGGGAAGAUUGCACAAUGGGCGAAAGCCUGAUGCAGCCAUGCCGCGUGUAUGAAGAAGGCCUUCGGGUUGUAAAGUACUUUCAGCGGGGAGGCGUUACCGGCAGAAGAAGCACCGGCCAACUCCGUGCCAGCAGCCGCGGUAAUAC